UAAAAGAAAUUUUAUUAUCAAUACGCCAGGAUUGGCAAUGGCCAACCAAUAUGUUAUCAAUUACAAUUCAUGAAAAUCAUUAAACAAUUCAUAUCAUAUAAAAAGAGAAGAAAAAAUAACAAAAAUAAAAUAAUAAUAAAGAAAAAAAAGGCAUUUUCAUGUAAAAAUUCCACUUGUUCCGGUAUUGAUUCAGGUUCCAUUUUUUCGAUCGGCAGUUUGGUUGAUUAUAUUUAAGUAUGGGGAGAAUAAUCGUUCGUACAUUAACGGCAAUGCAAUCAUGAAUCGGCAUUUUGACGGUGAUGGUGGUGAUAUGAUGAUGGUUACAGCUGGAAAGAUUGACAAUGGUGGUGGAUCAAUUUUGGCGAUAUUUUGUUGUUGUUGUUGUCGAUGGUGUUGAUGAUGGUGAUGAUGAAAGAUGGCCACAAGGGCUAUAGCACAAUUCGGUGGUAAGUGUCACAACGCUGUGGCAACAGGUUGGCACGAAUAAUAAUGGUCACAGAAGCGGUGGUUGGAUCGAGAAAACGACACAUGCAUUGAUAUCACAAAUGGUCGAUAUUGUCACAGAUUGCGGUGAUGAUAACCAAUAUCGGAUAAGAAAUGUUGGAUUGACGAUGAUUGGUGAUGAUAAUGAUGAUGUUGGUCAAGGGAAAUUCACAAGAUGAUGAUGGUUGAUGGUGAUGAUAUGACAUGUAUCAGCACCAGAUUCGAAACACGGAUUUUCACAGGAAUAAUGUCACAACAUUGGUAACCAAUGCUGGCACAGGCAAAAAUCGUGAUCAUAAACAGUUUGUUGAAAAUAAUAAAGAAAAAAUCACAGAACAUAACACAACUACAAUUAUCAUUCGCUAGUUGAGAUUAGGUCCAGUAAAACACAAUGUCUGUUGCUUUGAUGGUUGCUUUUAUAUGGUUUGUUUAUGUUUCUCGAAAUUUCUCGAUGUUGUUGGUUGUGCUCAAUUAAUGGUCGAGCAUGAUGAUGAUGAACGAUGAGCAACUGGUUACAUUGGUUUAUGCCGCUACCAUCAACUGGUAUUGGUCGUUGUUGCUCAUGGCUGCUACUAUUGAUGACUAUGGUUGGCAAUGUUGAUUCGACAAUCAAUACUCGCUGCUAUACAAAUGGAUGAGCUAUCUUCGGCUAUAUCGAUUGAGCGUCGACCAACAGUCGACUAUUUCAUUUGUUUAUAUUGACAAUAAAUUAAAUCUGCAAUUAUCAACUCGAUUCCGAUUCUUCGGUAUACGAUCCAUGGAUUUGACCUGUUGAAUACCACUUGUUGCCCAUGAUGACUUUUAAUGUGUGUCGGCGAUGGCCAACCAAGACAUCAAGAAAAUACAAAAAUCGCAAGAAAAAGAAAUCAAUCAAUCAAUGGAUAAAAA